rnacentral:misc_RNA from 1 species
UUAAGUUCAGCGGGUAUUCCUACCUGAUCCGAGGUCAACCUUAGAAAUUGGUUAAAAAAGACCGGGUCAAAAGGCCACUAUGAUGCGUGCUGGUUAAAGCUCGUUGCAUCUAGGGUCCAACUGACACCGUCAUUAUCUUUAGGGCCUGUCUUUUAACGACAAGAGGUCCAACAGCAAGCCGGGCUUGAUUAGUGAUAAUG